ensembl:lncRNA
AGCCAGCACAGCAAGAAGACAGACACGAGGAAGAUGCUGAAGCAUGUCCUUAAAGCCUCAAUAAUUUUCAGUGCUGUUCAGAAACUUUCGCAUCAAGUCCGUGAAAGCCAAUGUGAAAGAUGGCAUUUUAGAAAGUAAUACUGUCAAACUCAUGUUCAGAUUUUCACCAUGUAAAUUCCACGCAAACAAUCAUUUUUAAUACCCCUCCCUCCCCUUCAGUGUUUACCCAAGGCAGGCCACCUUGAACCAAUUACAAACACAAGGGGCAGAGACAGAGUUUACUUUAUUGUCUGAAGAGGAAAAUCCUGUCUGGAAACCAUUUCUUCCUAGCACUGCCUGCACUGCACGCUCUCCCCUUCAAAACACAUCUUGAGAAAAAUUUGACAAAGAGUUCUUCUUACACAAGUUACAUGGAUGUUGCUGUGCUACAAGAAAAAUACUUAUUUGGAGACAGACUGCAUCCAUUGUCUGUUGUGACUCAGUAAAGGGCUGUUCAGAGAGGGCUGCAGACGUCCUUUCCUCAAGGAGCGGUGCACUAUUGCUUGCUUCGGAUGCACACGUAUUUCCUGGGCCUCCUCCAAAAUGUCUCCCUGCUCAAACAGACUGUUAAUGACUGUUCCCAGCACUGCCCAAGUCUUUAGCAGACUUCUGACUCCCUUUGCAAGAUUAUAACCUUGAAACAAAGCUUGUGAGGUAGAGGAAAAAAGAGGGCAUCUUCUAUGGCAGUUACUAAGAGCGGUUUUACAGAGAAGACAGUAAGAACUUUCAACUAGGCUCAGCCAGCAAGAGAGAAAUCCCUGAGAGAAGCAAAAAUCACUCACGGCUGCAUCCCAGAGACACCACUGAACAUCUUGCGAUUGGUUUUGUUGGGGCAAGAGUGCACUCUGUCAGCUUAACCUGGAGCUGAUCUACAAGAAGACCCAUUUCCUUCUCAGUUCCCAGGUCACAGAACACGCCGCCAAGCACAGCCCUGCCCCAGCCAUGCUGUGACAGACAUUCAGGAUGGAAGGCUAAACCAGUCUUUGUCUCCCUCACUGGCUGUGAGUGGUAUGUUCAAUAUUCCUGUCAAAUACAUACGCUGUGCAGAACAUCCAAGGGUUUGCAGACGUUGUGUUAUUUUGAAUCAACUUAUUAUCCUUAUUAGACCCCGAGGAUCAUCAUUGCUGGUCCUGAAUAAUUCUCUGGGGAGCACAGCCAAAUGCAGUCAUUUAGAAAGCAACAAUUUCCUGCUUCCUGCAUGUGUAUUCAUAUCAACAACUAUCAGUAAGCUCUACAAACUGGGGAGUAUAAACAGACCAUUUCAGAGGAAGAUUUCAUUCUAUGAAUGACUUCUGUUUCAAUCUACAAAGGUGUUGUUUUUACAUAAAGUCUCUGUGCAACACAUGCCGAUAUUUCACGCUUAGGUUUCUGUUGCAGUCCAUUUCUUGGGGACUAUGAAAUGAUAGUACUGGAUUAAACUUCACUGCUUCUAAGGCACCUAGUUUCUAUCUGCUAUUGCAUAGAUAAGGGAUGGUGAGAGACUCAUAACAAGAAAAACCAAAAAACUUUAUAAUAAGCUUGUAUUAAAGUGGUCUGUUUGGCUUUCACAUGUGGUUAAAGUCAGAAAUUUGCUCAUAACCAGAAGGAAAUAUAAGCUCACUACCACCACUAAGUGCCAGAGGCCAACUAAUGUGGUAAUGUGAAAAACUCUGAAUGUUGAGGGAUACAGUUUGAGCAUUAAGGAUGGCAAGAACCAGCCUUGGAGCAUCUGGUUCUGUCACUAUUCUGUAGUAGCAAGAACUGUCACAAACUCAAGGAUGAAGUUCUUCAUGGGCCAAUUAAACCACACCCUGAAGGGAGAAACGUGUGAUAGCAGUGAAAAAUCUUGACGUACAUCCCUAUUAUGAGAAGAAAUAUAACAUGGCACUGUGCAUGCACUAAUCAUUCAUACCAGCACAGAAGAAUACUAGGCUGAACAAAUCAUGAGAUUGAGAAAAUAAGGGAAGUGAAUAGUCUUUUUUUUUUUAAAUCACUGGGAUUAUAAAAACCACUUACUUUACUUUAGAUUUAUAUUUAAAUGUUUUGCUGAAGUAAGGUCUUUCGUACCCUAUAUUGACAGAUUGUUUAGGAAUUAUUUAAGUAUAUGGUUUAAAGCAUUUAAAUUAUUUUAUCAGUAGUCAAAAUAUAUCCCAUUUGUAUUUGAUCAUUUCAACUCUCAUUCUUUUACUUUCCAGAUUUCUGCAUUCACUGUUAAUAACCAUAAUUUGUCUUCUGAUACAACCAAGCCAUUAGGAAAUAUAUCUAUGGAUUUGUUCUUUAAAUAAAAUUAGCACAUUACUCUUGUCUGUUUGAGCUAAUCAAAAAGAUUAUUUUAGCCUCUCUGUUUAAUGAAGAAAAGUAUAUUGCAGAAGCAUAUGACCAUGGUUCAAAGCCAGGGAAGACACAGACAAAUGAUGGUAGCUUUCAGACACAUUGCCCUAAUUUCAUUCUUGCAACACCACUGUCUAUGAAUUUGGAAAGAAAUGCACAUCGAAUCCAGAAUACGUUUUUACACAACAUUAUGUAAUCCAAACAGUUGCAACAAUGGAAUAGACUUAAAAGCCUAAAUCUAUUGUAAAGCUGUAGAAGCUCAGGAAUUUCUAAGAAAUUUACCCAGAUUUACAGGAUAUUGUAAUCAAAUCAUAUAGCAACUAUGUUUGAAUUAACCUUUCAUAAACAUGUCUUGAACCUACAUCAUGCAAUUCAGUAUGGCUGAGUUGGCCAUAGCAAUUUCAUAGGACAUUUGUCUAAUGUUUAUAAAGUGUAAGUUUUUGUUUGUUUGUUUAAAGGAACUGUUUUGUCUGUCGACAUGUUCUAGAAAUACAUAGCACAAAGGUUUAUAUUUUUUGUCCAAUAAAUGUCCAGUCAACCCAGGAAAACCAGGACAAGUCCAGAAGGAUGAGAAAGAAACCCACUUCAUAAUAUUCCACUGUGGUUAAGGUACUCUUCCACAAGCAUCCUAUUCCUAUAAAGUGGAAAGGUAUUCCCUUAAACUAGAAAGAAAAACAAAAUAAAACAAAAUGUUCUGUUGUUAACAAAGAAGAAUAGUACAAGAUAGAAUAUAUAUAUAUAUAGGGUAUUGACACUAAACCUCCCUAUUUAUCUCAAAUUUUUUAAAACAAAAAAUUAAAAAUCAGUACAUAGGCUUUCCAUAUUAAAAAUAUCACUUCCACUUGUGAUUAUUCUCUAAUUUUUACUCAGAUUUGAAAAUGGUAUCUCUUUGGCCAAAGCAACAUGCUUCAUACAGAACUAUGAACUUCUGUUAGCCAGAGAAGAUAGCUGCAUUCCCCUAACUUGAAAGUGAUGAGGCAUUACAAUAACUGAAUUUGUGCAACUUGAAUUACCCAAAUUACCCAAAAACUAAGAAGAUUUUUUAUAUCUAGAUGUUAAUUGGCAGAUAGUUGGAAGAGUGGAAGAAUUCAAGGUAAACUUCAGAUGUAAAAACUGAUAGAACCCAAAGGACAACAAAAUACCUCCCAAACUUCAUAUCCAGACACCUCAUCCUUCCCUCUCAAAAAUCCUGACUCUCACGAAACAGCACAUAUUCACACUGCAUAAAAUCAUGUAGUUAGUCUUGCAGAUCAUCAUCUGUAAUGCUCUGAGAAUGCCAUGGUAUUUCUGCCACCACGUUCUGUGAUCUGGUAUGGAAGUGUGUGAGACAAGUUUGCAAUUUUGAAUAUUUUUUGUGUAUGAGGCUCUGUAGCAAGCAUGCUUAUAUCCCGGUACAAGCAUUUUGUAAUUCAUAUCGUUGCAUUGUCCUUCAUUUUCACUCCACACGUUUCUUAGCACUGAUAAUUUUUCUGAGAAGUCUAAGAAAUAAGAUAUGCCUCCCACAUUGUGACAAAGAGUGUCUAAGUGCAAUUCUGUGUCCUCUGUUAGCUGUGAUUUGAAAUGGCAUCUCCCUUUUGUUCCAUCACAGCAAACUUGUGGUAAAUCUUCACUCUUGCAUCAGUCUUAAGUUAGCCCAUUUGCAAUGCACAAACAGCAGCUUCUCCUCUUAGCAUAGCUCAUUUUGACUGAAGAUGAGUCACAUCUACCCAAAAGUUCAGUAGUGGCUAUGCAUUUGACAGCAAAACUUUGGAAGCUUUUAGGGAAUUUCCUCACUGUUCCUCUGUAUUCUUUGUCCUAACAACUGCUGUUUUAUUCCUCUUUAUUUUAUUAGUUAUUAUCAGAUGAUAGAACUAUAAUAGUUCAGACCUGGGAGAGGUUGAAUUUUACAUUAUGGCAAAUAUUAAUAAUAUAAGAUGUUUUUGUGCUAUUUGAUUGGAAGAAUAACAGAACAUUUCAAAGAGCUCAAACUCCCCUAGGGUUUACAUACUUGAAAAUAACUGUAUCUCUGAAUUGCCAAAAGGGGAACAAGGGCAAACAACAAACCUUCAAAUUAAUAUUACAUUGGCAGCAGGUUUUUACAGACUACUAUCAGGGCUGUGUGCUGACUCCCUGGCUUAAUGAACAGCUUGAUUUAAAGCUUAAAAUUAUUAAGUGUUCCACCAGAGUCAUAAAUAAUGCAGUUUAUAAUAUUCAGAUUGAGCACAUAAAACUACAUUUGUCUUCCAUUAACAACGCACUUUUUAAGUAGCCUGACCUCUUCAGAUAUAUAAGAACAUGCAAUUAGUGCAAUUUGUCACAGGUCCUUUACAUUUUAAUAAGAUGUAAUUAAUUGUCUGUUUAGUCUAAUUAACUUUGAAACCCUGACAGUUCUUGCUCUCUAGUAUAAAGCAAGCUCCUUAUUUGAAUUGCUAAUAUUGGACAGAGAGUCUCCAAACCACAGUAAAUUCAAAUCUGUGUACCUUUGCAGAUUAAGAGACACUGGACUAACCUACUAAUAUUUGCAUUAACUUUUUCUAAAGUCAUUUUCAGCAAUCUGUGCCAACACAUCUGCGUCAAUAAAAUAUGGGAGUCAAUGUUUGUGAAACAGACAGAGUAGAGUUUCAUUAAUGAACCCACAAUGGUUCUACGUCAGUCAUACUGCCCAACUAUGUUUCAUACAUGAUUUAAGAAAUGAAUUAUGGACUCUGCUGGGGAUGUAAAGUCGUUAAGCCCUUUCAAGUUACUCUGCUCAUCAGGGAAAGAUAUUGGCUGCAUGGAAGUAACACUGAACAGAUUUAACUGCUAAAAGCUUUAGAACUCUGAUUUUUUCUUUUCCUUCCAAGCUGUAUUAGAUUAUGAGAAUGUAUCUUGAUUUUAAUGCAAAUUUUUUACUUUAAAAUACAAUGAGUUCUCCCUUGAUGAUUUUAAAUGCUUAGAGGAUUGUAUUUGCCAUGAUAAAUUGCACUUAGUUCAACUGAAUAGCAAAGGGCAGACUCUGAAAUACUGUCCUCUUUUAAAUAAAAUCAUUCUCUGUAAAUGAUCCUGCAGAAGUUAAUGAUCCUCUUCAGAACCACAGAAACAAGAGAAUGCGAGAAUGUGUACAGAAAAACGCAUGUGGAAAGAACAAACCAUUCAGUGAAGUUUGAUACAUGUUCAAAAAGAGCAUAUAUAAUACAUUCAAUGGAAGUUUUAGCAAGUUGAAAUAAUAUUUUAUUUCUUAUUCUGAAAACAGGAAUAAUUUCACAGUCUGAGCCUUGUUGCAUGACCCUCACAGAAUGCCAAGUAAGGGGAUAUAUAAAUCUCGCCUGCUAUAACACAGACACUGACAGGGACAGAAUGAGCACCAAAGCAAAUAUGAGGAGAUGGUUGGGAAGAACAUUAAUCAAGGCAUCUCUUCUACAGCUUAUCACAUCUUCUCUUGUGUAACUACACCAGUAAACAUUUUUGGCAGUGUCAGAUUAAUCCCAAUCUCCAUUUAUCUUAGCAUAGCAAUAGACAGUAUGGGGACAGACAUUUGUAAGGAAGCAAGUAGUGCUUCCCUCCUUUUGGAAUUUUAAGUCAUUUCUUCCACCUUGAAAUAAACAACUUCUCCAAAUAUUAAUCACCUCAAGUACGAUCACUGCUCAGCAAUAAUAAUGACACCAAUACUGCAGCACUCUAGCCAAAUGUAAACCGAACAGGAAAAAAAACACAACAAACAGAACAAAACAAAAUAACAACAAAAACAACAACAACAAAACAGAACAAAGAACAGUCAAAAUGACUAAUACCUAAAAUGAUGAGAGAAGUUGAAGACAUUCUGUAUUUAUCAGGGAAGAAGAAGCAUUGGUGCCCCACUUCUCCUUUAGGUCUUCAGAAAGACAAAGAACAAUUUUCAUAUUCUUACAUUCACAAUGAACAGACAAAAUUCAUAAAAAUAUGUGCAAAAUUCACGUUCUUAUUUUGUAUUGCUGAGUAUCUCUUAUAAGUUUCAUUUCUAGCAAUAUCACUGACUGUUCUCGACCAAACAGACUUGAAAUCCGGUCCCAGAAUUUUUCUACAUGAAUUCAGCUGGACUACUGGAAGAAAAAAAAGAUAGUACAACUGCUUAGUUUUUCAGGGCUAGGAUCCCAUUUACCUAAGGUUACCUAAGGAAGUAACAGAAAAGGAAAAGGGAGAAACCACAUACGAGGUAGUAAACAUGCUUAAAACUUUUUUGAUCCCUGUGGUUAAACCAAUCAACCAGAAUACACAGUUUCACUGACCAUCUCCUUACCCUUCGGUUUCUUCUGAAAUCAACGUAACAGAAUCACCUCAAGCAUACAAAAUAAAUAUAAAAAAAAUAAUCAAAUGACCAAUAAAAACUGCACACCUGUCUCAUCAUUAGUCAAAGGCAAUCUUGAUAGUGAGGAAUUUGGAUAACUGGAGAAGGGGGGAACAAGAUGGUGGCUUAAAUUUAGGUAAGUUUUAAACAUUCUAGAGUAUAAGAAAAAACAAAUAUAAAUCAACCCUAAAGUUGUAAUAAUUAAGAAAAACAAAAAGAAAUUUCAGUAAAAAUGAGUACAAAGCGUCAUGCAUAAAUGACAAUAGUGAAGAUAGGGCAAAGUAGUAUUCCGCACAAGACUCCACCUACUCUUAACUCUUUUUAAACCCAACAAACCUCAGCCAAAAUACUGCCUCCAUCUGGCACUAGGCGCCUCACUAUAAAGAAUAAAGACUAACUAGAAGUGUAGAGAAUAUCAAUGGGAAGGAAGUUUGCAAAAAAAAAAAAAAAAAAAAGUUGAAGGAGUUAGUUUAGGAACUUCAGAAAAGAUAAGGCCAAAUGGCACAACAAGGGAUUCCCAAAUAUGUAACAAGUUGUUCUUAGCUGAUAGUAAGUAAUCUGUCUCUGCUGGGGUAGAGAGGAAUUAAAUAUUGCAUACUAGUGCGAUGUGGGGAGGAAUAAUCCUUGCUUAGCCAUAAGAGAAACUUUCUUUAACCACUUGGUUUCAAAAAUAUGUCAGCAAUGUGUCUUGUAUAUUUGUUUCAGAGCACAUAAUUAGAUAAUUUUAUGGUCUGAAAACCAUUUUAGGUCAAUCUUUCAAAGAAUUCUAAUAACAUACAGAAAAUGUUGUUCCUAUUAUACAGCAACAUUUGAAUGGAAAUGAACUUGUAACAGUAGUGACAUGCAAGUUAUGAAACUAAAUAAUACCCAAGAUUAAAUAACUUUUUGUAUACCUAUAAGAACAGAAAGUGUUCUUACAUGAAUAUAUUCUAAAUUAAUGUGUGCCGGAGGAGAAAAUCACUGAAGAACUUUAGCAUUGUUGGCAGUAGUUGACAUGCAGGUGUGAUUGAUGUCUGCCUUUCCUCCAAGGAUGAGUGGAAAGCUGGCAAAUGCCACAUAUACAUAAUGCUUUGAAUUUUAAGCCAAAUUGGUUUUCAGACAUCGUACUUGACAUUUCCCCUUCAUACUUCAAAUUAUUCCUUGGUACAAAUUGCAUGUUUAUAUAAUGUGUUUUGCUGUACCGUCUGGUUUGAUCAUAUCUCCUUUAGGCUUUCUUGAGGCAGCUGCAGUUAUAAAUAGGCCAAGAGCACUGCUUGUAGUAAAGAUGAAAUAGAGAUUACCUUUGCCAAAAAAAAAAAAAAAAAAAAAAAGGAGAAAAGACAAGAAAAAGCUGAAACCUUUAGAUGGAGCCAUUAGCAGAACACUGCAUUUUUAUUUUUAUUCCACUUAUACUAAACUGCCACCCAGGCUUCUACUGUUUGCCUCUAUUAAGAGGCAGCAAAAUAAUAAAGGAGAUCUUUGGCCUUCCUGAUCUGUUUUAUGAAGUUGAAGUAACAAAGCCACAGGGAGGAAUUUUAGAGGGCUCAUUGGCAUACAGCUGGCCCUACUGCAGUGGCCUAAUAAGGUUCAGAAGGAUACAGACUGCGAGCUGAGGAACACAGACGCAAUUUGUGGACAUGAAAGAUGCCAGUGAAGGCUUUACUCAGGAUCUCCUGUGACGCUGCUGUGCUGCUGACUCUGGUUUGUCAUGCACCGUGCCUGUUCCUGAAUAAGAUAACCUGAUCUAUGCCUCAGGCCUUCCUUCUAUUUCAGUUUUUGUUUCAUCAAAACAGGGGGGAUGGGCAGAGAGAAAGAAAGAAAAAAAAAAAAAGCAGAGUUUCUAAGUUUACAGGUCAUAUAUUCACUACCUGGAGACAUACACAAAGACUAAAGGAACAAGCGUGACAGCUAUGCUUAUUGUUUCAUUAAGGUCUGUAACUGCAAAUCCUGAGUCUGUGUUGCAACUACUUGGUGAGAUAAAGUCUAGCUGUCGAGUAGCAAAUUAGAAUUAGAAACUGGAAAGAUAUCUAAUGAUCAGCAAACAGACAGUUUGCUUAAACACUUAAGUAUAGCAUAUUGAUUUGCUCACUGCCAUAUUCAAGCAUAACUAAAAAGAUAAAAUCCUGAGUAAAGAAGGUAGAACUCCAGAUAUCGAUCCCCCGACUCAUAUUGAUAAGUGCAAGUUAAAAUGUAAAUAUAAACAGAGCCUCGAGUUUCACCUCAAAUAAAACCCUCAGGCACGCUGAGGAAAUUUGAACGGUGAAGAUCUGCCAACAGGCAUAACAGUUUGCUGAACUGUAGCACUCCAAUUAGAAAGAUAAAGAUGCAGAGGUAGUAGCUGUAAAACACUCAGUUUCACAACCUUGGCCCUCUCUUUUCCUUCACAGAAAAACAAGAGGCAGCUGUCUGGCUCUGUUAGGUUAGCAGCUGCACGUCCUUCAGCAGUGGAGUUUAAAACAUCUAAAAGAACCUCAAAAUGGACGCAGGUCCUUCUGUUCAAAUCCUGGGACAGAAAAGUAUCAGCACUCCACAAAUCACUCAUUUUAACACCAAGCUGCCUUGCAUCAACUUAUUUUAUAGUCAUCAAGUUCAGCGUUAUCGGUGAAUGUUUCAUAAAAUGUCCUGAACCCAGAAUCACCUCUGAAGCAUUAAGCUGACCCGGGGUUUUUUAAAAUUACAUUCACAGCACUGAUUAUGGUGCAAGCUGUGUAACUUCCUGGCCUGGAGCUACACCUUUGACAUGAAUACAAUAAACUUGUGUUAAGAAUACAAAAGGAGAGAUAACCAAGUUUCCCAUUCACAAGUCUAGCAAGUAGUGCGAUUUCCAGAAGUUGAUUGAUGCACUGAACUCUCAUUUAUUUUCAGGGCAAUUUUACUUGUUAAGAGCUGAUAGGAGUGCUCACUAUUCUAGAUUCUAUUAAAUGCAGAAUAAAAAAGGCCACAGCACUUCAGGUCUGAAGCUCCAACACAUCGUAUUCUUUGACACCAUUCUGUUCAAAACAAGUUCAAACAAAACUGCCCUAAGCUAUAGUACAGUAAUCAUUAAAACUAAAUCUAAGUUAAUAUCGAAUGCUGUUAACUUUCAUAGCAGUGCUAGUCAAGAAACACCCUGAUGGGAAGCUGACAAUUUUAGCUGUUAUUAUCAUCUUCUUUCUCAGAACCAGCUGGAUGCUUUAAAGGUGGAAUUGUAUAUUUUCCAUGUUUCGAUAUCAUAUCUUAGCACAAAGGCAUAUCUACACAAAUGCAAGCUGGUCUUUGCACUUCUGUUUAUCUCUUCAACUUGUAAUGAACCUUUCAUUUUAAUCUAGGACUUAUCAGAAAACAUUAACACACCAAAACUUCUAAUUGAAUCAUCUGUCAAAGAUUCCAAAAGAAGCAUCAUACAAAAGCACUAUAUACUUCAGGCCCUUUAAUCCCCUGCUUUCUCUGCCACCAGGCUCCUUUCAUAUUCACCUUGGGACUUCGGAGAAGGGCACAGAAUCAUAAAAUCACAGAAUCCUUAGAGUUGUAAGGGACCUUUAAGGCCAUCUAGUCCAACUCCUCUGAAAUGAACAGAGACACCACAGCUACAUCAGGUUGCCCAGGGCCUUAUCCACUCUCUCCUUGAAAGUCUCCAGGGACAGGGCAUCCACCACAUCACGGGGCAACCUGUUUCAGUGCCUCACCACCCUCACUGUAAAAGACUUUUUCCUUAUAUCUAACCCAAAUCUACCCUCUUUAAGCUUAAAACCAUUUCCUCUUGCUCUAUCACAACAGUCUCUGUUCCUGUAGCUCCCCUUUAGAUACUGGAAGGCCGCUAUCAGGUCACCUCAGAGCCUUCUCUUCUCCAGGCUGAACAGCCCCAGCUCUCUCAGCCUGACAUCUCACGUUGAAAAGUUUUCAAAGCAUUCAGAUUCAAACCACCAAUAAACGAAAGAAACAGCAAGAGGAGAAUUACUGCCAACUUGUAUCACUUGAUAAAAUAAUACUUGCUGCACUUAAAUAAAAAAUAAAUCAAGCCAAAGACACAUUGUCCUGAAUUUGCUUAAUAAACAAGUUUAAAAAUUGCUCUCAAUAUUGAUUCCAUCAGCAUCUGACUAUAGUAUAUACACACUAGUUUAUACCUACCAAUAAACAGUAAUGAUUUAGACAUCUUCACAUGCAAGACUGUUAUCAGUUCUGACUCUUUAAAAAAAAAAAAAGUGAAAUAAUUUUCUUUUAUAGGAACUAUAAGCAAGUGGCAUGCUAAUUUAUUAAUUCGUACACGUGUGAAAUGUAUGAUUACUAUGUUGUUUUUUUUUUUCCUAAAAGUAGAGACAUAACAGAAAUAAGGUGUAGUAUUUAAAAUAUUUACCUGUUAUUUUCAUGGGAGUUAAAACAGGUUAGAAAUAGGCAGGUUCGGGCAUUUUGAAUUACAAGUGCUGAAUUUUUAAUGUAUGGAAAUCUGAAUAUUUGCUCUCUAUGGAAAAGCUUAGCUAAUGAGUUGCCAACAGCCAUUUUCUUGCCCUGGAAGAAAACCUGAGGCAUUUACAUAGCUCUUAUUUGUUCUUUAUUUAGGCAGACUUGCUGACUUCAGUGGGAACUGAGCAGUGCAAGAUCUGGAAGUAAAAAUUGAAUGAAGACAUUAACAUCUGUUCACCUGGAAAGAGUACCUGGAUUUUUUUUUGGCUUACUUUAUACCCAGUGCUGAAUAAAACAGGCAAUGGCAUGGUUAUUCACAGAAUAUUGUGAAAUGGAUCAUUUUGAACAACCCACUAGAGAGAUUAAGAAUAGAGGAGAUACCUGAUUUUCUGAACUAUACAUUGAAAUUCCAUCUUUGAAUAGUAGCAGUCAAGCAGAGCUUCAGCUGCAUAAAAGGGGACUACACAAAUGCUUCUAGCAUACUUAAAAGCCUCUUUGUUAUACUGAAGAGACAAACUUAAUAUAAACUAUAAAAUGAACCUCAUUAUACAAUGCUGAGACUCCUACUGAAGCAAUGUCAUGACAGUACCUUAUAAGCUUUGUGCUGAACGAGUGUACUGUUUUUGCCCUCAUUUCUCCUGUCUUCCUGUAAGGCUGAAAAUUACCUAUUUUGGCCUCGUCUCAUACCAUAGCUUUCACUUGGUUAUGGGUUCUCAGGAGCACACUUUGGACUAGUGUUUUACAGAGACAUAUGGUACAGAUGUUCUGUGAAUCCUUCUAGACUAAAUGUCUAUUUACAUCAGUUGCCUGUUAUGCUAACACAGUAGACUAAAUGACUUCUUGUCCUUAAUCUGUAUUCUUAGGGAAAAACCUUUAGCUUUAAAUGCUCUGUCCUACUAUUCUCUGCUAUGGAUGCUCCAAAUUCUUUCUCCUCACUCAAAUGGGCUUUAGGAUGCAAUUCUCCAAAAAUGAUAGUAACAAAAUGUCAUGACUUUAAAUCUCCCAAGAAUCAUUUCUCAUGUAGCUUGCUCUGAAAGUAAUCCCUUCUAUUUAUUAACAUAGAAAUUGCAACAGAUACAAAGAGCACAGCAACAUCAUUUGAUAGAGCAAAUUCUCCGCUACAAAACACUAUUUUUCAGCAUCAUCACCACCACUAUGGAUUUUCACCAGCCUGCAUGCCACGCUCACAGAAAUCUGCACCAACAGAGAUAACCCACUGUUUCACAGCUGCUACUACAGCAUCACUGCUAGGAAGAUGUUGCCCACACAGUUCAUUAGGCCAAACAGAUAGAAAGCAUCAAAUCCAGACGGCAUAGUGGGUGUGGUAGGACACAAUGGCAAUGUGCUCCACAGUCUUUAAACUGAUAUGGGACCUGGUGUUAUGUGUUACAAGAACAAGAUUUUCUUUUUUGGCCUGACACAAGAAGUUUGAGACUUCAGUGUAAUCAGCACCACAGUGUAGCAGUCAGGGUUGAUGGCUUGUCUGGGUUCCAGGAAAUCUAGAAGAAUCUCUCUGUUAAUAUCCCAUAAGACACUGCACAAUACUUUACUCACUGAGUAAAGUAUCUUGAACAUUUUCAGUGGAGAAUUAACAUUUCAUCACUCCAUGGACUGCCAUUUUGACUCUGGCUCAUAGUGGUGACGUUACACCUUAUCUCUCAUCCAGAAAACUGUCACCUUCAGCCUCAUAUUUGUUCAGUAGGUUCUGACAUACAGUGUUGCAUACGGUGUUCUUUCUCCUCUUACGUGAGCAUUCAUGGGGCCCACUUGGUGCAAACUAAUAUUCCAAGAUGGUCACCAUCAUUUUCAAUGCACCAAAGCUGAUAUUCAGCUCUAUACACAUAUCCCUGCUUGUAAUCCAUCAAUUUGCCUGGAUGAGCUGAUUGAGACACUCUCCAUUUUGCGGCGUGACAGCUGGGCAUGGUCAUACAGAACGUGGCCAUUGCCUCAUUGUACUAACACCCACCUUUUCGUUUCUAUAAACAUUCAGUAAGAGUUAAUGCAUGUUAAUAGGUGCAGUCUUUUCUGCAUGUAGGAAUAAAGUGACACACCUAUGCUUCAUAUGCACUUCCAUGUCAGAUGCCAAUUUGUCAGACUGCCCCUCUGCUGCCACCUGUUACACAGCAGUAAAAUGGAAUGAAAUACUCGCAGGAAGGGUCAGUCUCUAGUGCCAUACCAUUAACAUCUGCCUCUGAUGUCGUGGGCCAACAUCAUAAAAUAGGAGGGCAUUUCUUCUGGAGCAGUCCUCAUAGUUUUUGUUUACUUUUCCAUGCACUGGAGGAAGUUACAGUGACACCUGAGACCUUUAAGUAAUAAAUGCUCCUGACUAGCACAGAAACAACCAACUCCACACAUGCAAGAGGAGUACACAAAGAAAGCUGAAAUAAGUUUCUUUAUCUCACUGAAGUAAUGACUAGAUUUUGAAACAGGAAUUCCAUACAAAAGAAGGAUAGUAGCUUAAGCCUUUGAAGGCAAAAAAAAAAAAAGUCUGAUUUCUCCAUAGGAAGAUCUGAGAUAUUUCUGCAUCUGCUUUUGUUUCUUUAUUUGACCAGGUAUUUUCAUUAUAUUAAAGGUAUUAAGCAUUCAUAAAUACAAAUAAAAGCAUUCUUAUAAAGCAGCCAAGCAAUGGCUUCCUUUGCAACCAAGAACAACUCUGAUUCUUUUCUCCCCAAUCCCAUUUUGGUUUCUUGAACAUGAAUGUCUUCAGCCAUAAAAAAAACAACACCAAUAAUAAUAAUAAUAAAACACAUAGUAAUUGAAAACUUACUGGCUAAUUUCCAUCAGCUUUGUAAAGUAUUUGUAUUUUAUAUCAUUCUCCUUCACUUGAUUCUUUUGAGCAAGUCACAGAUGAUCAAUUACUCAUUUUCUCAACCAUUAAUAAAAAUCAGGCCUUAAAUCUGAGAAAUCGCUAAGCCCUUAAAACUUCAAAGUUUGACAGCCUGAACUUCCUAUGUCAAAUGGUUAUGAGCACACUUCCAUGUCUCCACAGAUUUUAUAGCACUACUCUUGUGCAUUCUUAAUCUGAAAUCACUUUCUGCCUGAGGCUAGAACACAAAACGUAUCUUCCCAACAGAUGCAAACCUAGUUGUCAUCUAACUUACAUUAAAUGCCAUCUAAGUUAUAGUAUGUUUGUAUGUCUCUCUAUGUCAGUUGAUAGAAAUAAAAAGAAAAGUGCUCUUGGUCUACUCCAUUUAGCCAGAAAAUCCACCAAUAAAAAGGAAUAAAAAUCAGCAGAAUAUCCAAGCUGAUAAUUACUUAGUCUGCUAACAGACUCCAUUCUCAUAUUAUAAAAAUCACCUAAUACAGUGCCGGGACUAUGAACUAUCCAAACAAAAAAGAUAAUCGGCCACGGAUCAAGGAGAAUAUUUCAUGAAAUGUAGAGCUAUAAGGAUGUAAUAAAAUUGAAGCAAUACUCUAAUGAAUAUGUACUAAAUCAAAUAGAAAGGCAUUUGUGAUUUUUUUUGAAUUUAGGAAGAGAAUUAUAGUACAGUUGAGAAAGUGAUGGCAGCACUUCCUGCAGAUAUGCCUAGCUAUCUCAUCAAGCUAUCUAACCUUUUUGUUGGUUUGUUUUUGCCAGUGUGAUCAAAUACUUUGCACAAGAGAUUACAAGAUUGAGCCAAAACACACAGCAGUAUUAGAGGACUAUUGCAUUUCCUGUAGUUGAUUUUAUUUUUUUUUUUUUUAACUGGUAGCUGGAAUUCUUAAAAGAUGCACUCUCAUUACCCACUUCAUAGACAGACUUGAGCUCUUCCUGAUCAUAUAUGGUCACUCUACACUGGUAGUCAAGCUCUGCUAUAUACAGUUAUAAGAAAAUAGGUCUUAAAGGGAAGCCAAAGACCUUAUAGUCCAUCUCCAUAUGUUUCUUAGUGGAUUAAAUGGUUCCUAGUAUAACUUGCCAUUUAUUUGUGAAACCUAUACGAAAGAAACUCAGUAAGCAGAGUGACUGGGGUUUUUCUUGUUGUUUUGUUGGUUUGGAUUUUGUAUUUUAAAGCAUCAAAUCCUUCUAGCUAAUAAAAUCCAUAACUGAUUCUCAGGGCUAUCAGAAUAUCACCAACCCAACUUUUUUUUUUUUUUUUUUUGGGUGACUUACCAAAACACAGUUGGAAUUAUCUUCCUUUUCACAGUUCAGGUGAAACUCUGCCACUUCAACACUACAGAAAGGUACUCGUGCUUCCUUGAACAUAAGAAAACAAUUCAGCCCUGCUCAGUUCAUCAUCAAAACGGACAAUGUUCUCCAACACUGAAAGGAUGCAAAGUUACUCGACAAGUGACAACGUUAUGCUCACCAGACCAGGUGGGCUGUUUGUCUUUGCAUAGUAAAUAACAUUACAUGUUCUGACUUUAGUCUAUUAUGAACCCAACCUAGGAAAAAUAAAUAAAUCUAUUGUUUUUUUCUGAGUUCAUGCGUUGUCUGCUUCUGCCUGGAUCUAGAAAAGUGCUUCUGUCCAGCUUCCAUUCAUUUCUUGUAUUUGUCAAGUUCAACCUAAUUCAUUUCUUGGUAGUCAUCUUACAGCCCCUGUCAUCAUUCUUUCACCAACUAUGGAAAGUAAUACUCUCCAACAAGUGUCAGAAUACCUAUUUCAGUUUAAUAAUGGAAAGUUGGUUACAUCUAGUACCCUUAAGGAGAUAAAAACAUAAAAACACUGCAUAAGCAGUGCAAUAUCUCUGAUACUUGGAGACCAAUUUCUGUAUCACACUGGAUUUGUGAACUACUAGAGCAUUAUCAAGUUAUUAUCUGGACAACAGCAAAAGUAGCAUUUAAAGCACUUCUCAGUUCCUUGGAUAUCCAUUGUGGAUGGCUGAACUGGGAACUUAAAGACGAAGAUGUAAUAGGUUGCAUCUCUUUCUUCCAUCACUUGUCUUUUUUCUCAUCUUUGAGAUGGGAGAGAGAGCAGGAAGUGAUUUUUGCUUGUUCUACUUCUUCCUAUUCCAUCCUCUCAUGGGGCACCCACUUCAAAAUAAAUGUUUCUUGUGGGGAACUUUGGAAAACCACUCUUUCACAGUUAUGAGAGCAACUACAGUGCAUUAUCCUCUCAGGUUUUGGUUUUCACUUUCUGGCCACAUCAGAAUUCCUUACUACUAAUCAUGUUUUACUUUUUGCAGCUCUCUAUUUACCAAGUUAUGGAAUACAAUUGCAGCACCCAUGUAGUUGUUCACAUGUACCAGAAGGGUUGGUCCCUCAUACUUCUUGUGAUUAAUUGCACAUAUCUGUAACCUCGCUGAAGUCUGGAAAUGAGAAUCCACACAAUGACUGGGCUCAACAGGUUUAUCAACGUUUCCUUCCUUCCAAUCUCUGCCCUUUUGGCACUAUAUGUAACAAUAUGCAAAGUACAAAGUCAAAUUCAAAUUUGGAUAUGUCUCAGAGUGUACGAUGACAAUAAACUAGCAUUUCAUGCUGCACAGGCUGCCUGAUGUUUCCCCCAUAUUGAAUAUACUUCAGUAUUUAGAAGUAUGCAAGAGAAUUGACUAUUUAUCUCAAUGACCCCAGGAAAUCUGAACUUCUCACCCCAUCAGUGUGCUGCUGAAUGAACUGCCUAGUUUUCAAGAAUAUUCUAGCAGGUAUUCAAAUAUUUGUGUCAUGUGUCAUGUUUUCCAAACUAUUUAGCAAAAUACCACAUAUAGAAAUCUAAGUGUUAUUAUUAUUAAAAAGAACAUAUUCUAUUGGAUUGAUUCUUGCCAGAAAAUUGUGAUAUAUUACUGUUCCAUUACAGGAAUUGCAAUUGGAAAAUAUACC